CCCAGUGACCCUGUUCAACGGCCGCGGUAUCCUAACCGUGCGAAGGUAGCGUAAUCACUUGUUCUCUAAAUGUGGACUAGUAUGAAUGGCAUCACGAAGGUUAUACUGUCUCCUUUUUCUAAUCAGUGAAACUAAUCUCCCCGUGAAGAAGCGGGGAUAAUACUAUAAGACGAGAAGACCCUAUGGAGCUUUAAACAGUACAGCAUCUGCCCCAUAACACUAAAAUUUCUGAAUAAAAACUUCAUUGGACAGUAUGACUGCGAGUUUUUGGUUGGGGUGACCACGGAGCACAAUACAACCUCCAUGCUGAAAGAAAAUUUCUAAGCCAAGGUCUACAAGCCUAAGCAUCAACACAUUGACAUCCAUUGACCCAAUACACUUGAACAACGAACCAAGUUACCCUAGGGAUAACAGCGCAAUCCACUUCAAAAGCUCCU
rnacentral:rRNA from 1 species